CUGGCUUCAAGAAACAGCUGGUGUGAGUAGCAGGGUUACAUGGGCUGUGGGACUCAUCCUGCGGAUAUGAGAUGCUGAUUAGAGAGUUAGCAGCACCUGGGACCUGCUAACAGAGAGCUGAAUCAGAUGAGUGGAAGAGGCAGGAGCAAGGGGCCAUAUAAGCCUGAGCCUGAGGGAAAUUAUCAAGGUGACAGCAUGCAGAAGUAGUGGGAAGAGGAUCUUCUUACCUACCUUUUGGAAUUGAAAAGGCAGAAAACUCCAACAAUUUUAAGCCUAACAGUGCAGUGGGUUUCCAUGCAGACAAGAUAAAACCACAACUGAAAUUCCCGGUGGCUGAUGAUACAACAGCUGCACUGUGCUGAUGGAGCUCCAGAAGAGGGUGAAGCUCAUACCCGUGAUUGCCAUUUCAGACUUGGCAGAAUGAACAUAAAAGUUUUGCCAACUUUCGAUCUUGUGAAACUUAGCCUUAUUGCUUACAUGGUGAUUGCACAGUGGUGCCUGCAUAGCAUAAUUUGUAACUAGGGUUUGUUUCUGCAUUUUCCUCCUGCAUGGAACUUGUAACAUCUAGGUGUCCAUUUUUACUUAUACAGUAACAAAUUAUUUAAAGCAGUUGAAAGUCCACUUGAUCAGCAGUUUUGAAAGUAUAACAUAGAUUUUAAAAAAACUACUACCACCUUGUCAACUAGUUAUUGUUUUAGAUUUUGAAAUGGCUGGUCUGACAAUGACAAGCAUAUAUAUUCCUUUUACCUACAAUGCUAGGUUUUAACUUUAAUAAUCAAAGAAAAUGGAAAUUGUAUAUUGGAAAGUAAUGAAGUGUUUUGGUCAAUUUAGACUGAGGCUAAAAUAAACCUGAUAGCAUUAAAUUUAUACAGGAUGAGUCAGUCUUAUAAAAGUCCUAUGGAAUUGAACAGGCACAUAACUAAAGAAUUCAUACACAAUGAUUUUCCUACCAGUUUUCUAAAUCAGCUACAAAAUCAAAUUGAAAACUGUAUCCCAACUAAGAAUUUUAUAACACAGUUCAAACAUUUUCUCCUGAACUCUAUUGAAACCUAUUGGUUUCAGCCCAGUUUAAUUCUCUAGGACUCUAAAAAAUGGGAAUACAGUGAGAGUCUUGACAAAUAGGGGAAGCUACUAUAGACUUAGCACAGUUGUACAAUCAACUUGAAAAAAUAAUGAAAAUAUACAAUAAAAUAGGGACAAACUUGGAGUCUUAAAAAGCACAAUGUAAUGAUAUAAGUCAUUUUCAAAGAACAGAAAAUUAUCAAGGAAGAAUGAUGGGGAAGAAAGCAAAAUUCAGUGAUUAUAUUGAAAUGUAUUUUGCAUACAACCUGUUUUCCAAAUAACAUAUGUACAUCAGACUUAUUUUUAUUAUAACUUA